rnacentral:rRNA from 1 species
CCAGCAGCUGCGGUAAUUCCAGCUCUAAUAGCGUAUAUUAAAGUUGUUGCAGUUAAAAAGCUCGUAGUCGGAAGUCGGGCUCGGGCAGGCUGUCGGCCUCGGUUGGGCAGCUUGCUUGGGUCUUCUAGCUCGGGGGCCCCGUGCCAUUUAACCGUGGUGCGCGGGAACACGGGCCGUUUACUUUGAAAAAAUUAGAGUGUUCAAAGCAGGCCUACGCUUGAAUACAUUAGCAUGGAAUAAUGGAAUAGGACUUUGGUGCUAUUUCGUUGGUUAAUGGGACCGAAGUAAUGAUUAAAAGGGACAGUUGGGGGCAUUAGUAUUUAAUUGUCAGAGGUGAAAUUCAAGGACUUAUGAAAGACGGACUUCUGCGAAAGCAUCUGCCAAGGAUGUUUUCAUUGAUCAAGAACGAAAGU